rnacentral:rRNA from 1 species
GACGAACGCUGGCGGCGUGCCUAAUACAUGCAAGUAGAACGCUGAAGGAGGAGCUUGCUCUUCUGGAUGAGUUGCGAACGGGUGAGUAACGCGUAGGUAACCUGCCUGGUAGCGGGGGAUAACUAUUGGAAACGAUAGCUAAUACCGCAUAACAGUAGAUGUUGCAUGACAUUUACUUAAAAGGUGCAAUUGCAUCACUACCAGAUGGACCUGCGUUGUAUUAGCUAGUUGGUGGGGUAACGGCUCACCAAGGCGACGAUACAUAGCCGACCUGAGAGGGUGAUCGGCCACACUGAGAGUGAGACACGGCCCAGAGGCCUACGGGAAGCAGCCGGAGGGAAUCGUCGGCAAUGGGCGGAAGUCUGACCGAGCAACGCCGCGUGAGUGAAGAAGGUUGUCGGAUCGUAAAGCUCUGUUGUAAGAGAAGAACGAGUGUGAGAGUGGAAAGUUCACACUGUGACGGUAUCUUACCAGAAAGGGACGGCUAACUACGUG